AUUGAACGCUGGCGGCAGGCCUAACACAUGCAAGUCGAGCGCGCGGCGGACGGGUGAGUAAUGUCUGGGAAACUGCCUGAUGGAGGGGGAUAACUACUGGAAACGGUAGCUCAUACCGCAUACCAUCAGAUGUGCCCAGAUGGGAUUAGCUGGUAGGUGGGGUAACGGCUCACCUAGGCGACGAUCCCUAGCUGGUCUGAGAGGAUGACCAGCCACACUGGAACUUAGACACGGUACAGACUCGUACGGGAGGGAGCAGUGGGGAAUAUUGCACAAUGGGCGCAAGCCUGAUGCAGCCAUGCCGAGUGUGUGAAGAAGGCCUUCGGGUUGUAAAGCACUUUCAGCGGGGAGGCGUUACCCGCAGAAGAAGCACCGGCUAACUCCGUGCCAGCCGCCGCGGUAAUUC
rnacentral:rRNA from 1 species